rnacentral:lncRNA from 1 species
UAAUAGGAAUUGCACUUUGGAGGACCUGGACCAAAUCUUUCCUGCUGAAUGCAUAUCGGCCCCUUUGGGCAGUUCACCGUCACUAGUGCAGGGGGCGAGGAACCUGGUGUCAUCUGUCACCUGACUGCCCAGCUCUGUAUCAUGGUCCAGGGAACCACUCUGAAUUUGAAGAGAACAUUCCUCACCAAAGUCCUCCUCAGUUUUUAUUUAUUUACUUGUGUGUUUUUUUUUCUUGUCUGUCUGCUUGUUUAUUUUCCUCCAAAACCAGAAAAUUUAACCUAAAACUCUAAGACUGGUGAAGAAUGUGCUGACAACCAUAGCAGAUAAAUAUGUGCAUGCUUAGAAUGCUCUCCAUAUACUUAAAUACUUGAAAAAUAAAAGAAGAGCAAACAUGCAGGAAAAGUAAAUAGCUUGAAACUAGACGAACAUUUCAGCAAGGUCAACAUGUUAGUUAGUGUCUAUCUAAUACCGUUUGUUUAAUAGACAAGAGCUUGACGGAGCACUGUGGUGUGCUGGUGCCUCACUUCACUUCGUCUUUCUUAUCUGCCAACGGAGACAUGCCUGUUUCAAAACAUCGCUGCUAUUUCAAAAUAAUCAGCAGCAGGACACGCCGCUCAUCCAGAUGCCUGGUGGUGUUUGCUUGUCGGUCAAGAGUCAUUUGUGAAGAAACGCUGUAAUGCCAAGGACGAGGAUGUGAGCAGAGCCAGCCGCACACCGAACUGUGAUCCAGCCGCUCCCUCCCACAGGAACGUCCCGCAUCAAACGCGGAGGCGCUGCCAUUGGUGACUGUUGAAUACAGUAAUUCCUGACAUUUUAACCUCGCUUAUCCAAAUGCCCACAUUUCCGUUGGAUGAGGUGGUAUGGGAGUAUCUUUAGCUGCAUGUUGCCAUAAUUAAGGCCUCUGGCAAACGCUAGACAUUAGCACGCGGAGCACCAGUGAGGAAGAUGGAGUGAGGAAGAUGGAGCUGCAUCAUUUCCUCAUAGCUGGCUCGAGUUUCAAAUUCCCUUAUUGUGUCUAUUAUUCUCCAUAAGCCUUUAUACGCUUCAUUACUUUAGACCCUUUUAAUACUGCCUGUAAUACAAGGUUAAAUCUAGCUUUUCAGGC